GCAAGUCGAGCGCGCCCUUCGGGGUGAGCGGCGGACGGGUGAGUAACGCGUGGGAACGUGCCCUUUGCUGCGGAAUAGCCACUGGAAACGGUGAGUAAUACCGCAUGAGCCCUUCGGGGGAAAGAUUUAUCGGCAAGGGAUCGGCCCGCGUUGGAUUAGGUAGUUGGUGGGGUAAUGGCCUACCAAGCCGACGAUCCAUAGCUGGUUUCAGAGGAUGAUCAGCCACACUGGGACUGAGACACGGCCCAGACUCCUACGGGAGGCAGCAGUGGGGAAUCUUAGACAAUGGGCGCAAGCCUGAUCUAGCCAUGCCGCGUGAGUGACGAAGGCCCUAGGGUCGUAAAGCUCUUUCGCCUGUGAAGAUAAUGACGGUAGCAGGUAAAGAAGCCCCGGCUAACUCCGUGUCAUCAGCCGCGGUAAUACGGAGGGGGUUAGCGAUGUUCGGAAUUACUGGGCGUAAAGCGCGCGUAGCGGACCAUCAAGUUGGGGGUGAAAUCCCGGGGCUCAACCCCGGAACUGCCUCCAAAACUGGCGGUCUGGAGUUCGAGAGAGGUGAGUGGAAUUCCGAGUGUAGAGGUGAUAUUUCGUAGAUAUUCGGGAGGAACACCAGUGGCGAAGGCGGCUCACUGGCUCGAGACUGACGUCUGAUGUGCGAAAUGUGUGGGGUAGCAAACAGGAUUAGAUACCCUGGGUAGUCCACAUCGGUAAACGAUGAAUGCCAGUCGUCUGCUAGCAUGCUUGUCAGUGACACACCUAACGGAUUAAGCAUUCCGACCUGGAGGAGUACCGCCGUAGGUUACAACUCAGAUGAAUUGACCGAU
rnacentral:rRNA from 1 species